GCCGUCUUGGCAGAAUCUGGCUAAUGCGCUAGCCUUGAGAACAGAUGAUAUUAUGGCUUGACUCUGAAUAGCGGCGUUAUGAAGAGUGAUAGGCAUUGUGAUGUUCAAGUUAGCUAGUGUCCGCAAGGACUUGCAGGUUCAAAUCCUGCAGACGGCG
rnacentral:tRNA from 1 species